rnacentral:rRNA from 1 species
GACGAACGCUGGCGGCGUGCUUAACACAUGCAAGUCGAACGGAAAGGUCCUGCUUUUGCUGGGUUCUCGAGUGGCGAACGGGUGAGUAACACGUGAGUAACCCGCCCUUGUCUUUCGGAUAACUUCAGGAGACUCGGGCUCAUACCGGAUAGGAGAUCCUGCUCCAUGGUGGGGGUUGGAAAGUUUCGGCGGUUGGGGAUGGACUCGCGGCUUAUCAGCUUGUUGGUGGGGUAGUGGCUUACCAAGGCUUUGACGGGUAGCCGGCCUGAGAGGGUGGCCGGCCACAUUGGGACUGAGAUACGGCCCAGACGCCUACGGGAGGCAGCAGUGGGGAAUAUUGCACAGUGGGCGGAAGCCUGAUGCAGCAACGCCGCGUGCGGGAUGACGGCCUUCGGGUUGUAAACCGCUUUCGCCUGUGACGAAGCGUGAGUGACGGUAAUGGGUAAAGAAGCACCGGCUAACUACGUG